rnacentral:rRNA from 1 species
UACAGAGGUCCCAAGCGUUGUUCGGAUUCACUGGGCGUAAAGGGUGCGUAGGUGGUGGGGUAAGUCGGAUGUGAAAGCUCGGAGCUCAACUCUGAAAUGGCAUUGGAAACUACCCUGCUAGAGGAUUGGAGGGGGGACUGGAAUACUUGGUGUAGCAGUGAAAUGCGUAGAUAUCAAGUGGAACACCAGUGGCGAAGGCGAGUCCCUGGACAAUACCUGACACUGAGGCACGAAAGCUAGGGGAGCAAACAGG